UCCGGUGUAGUUUAGUUGGCCAUAACGCAUUAGGCAAGCUCUUUGUGCCGGGCCAGAUGGCCUGGCUCAUACCUUGACCGGUGUAACCCGCGUUCGAUCCGCGGCGCCGGAC